rnacentral:rRNA from 1 species
UACACGUGGACAACCUAACCUAUGGAGGGGGAUAACCCCGGGAAACUGGGGAUAAUACCCCAUAGACUAUGGAUGCUGGAAUGCUCUGUAGUUGAAAGGUCCGCCGCCAUAGGAUGGGUCUGCGGCCGAUUAGGUUGUUGUUGGGGUAACGGCCCAACAAGCCUGUAAUCGGUACGGGUUGUGGGAGCAAGAGCCCGGAGAUGGAUUCUGAGACACGAAUCCAGGCCCUACUGGGCGCAGCAGGCGCGAAAACUUUACAAUGCGGGAAACCGUGAUAAGGGAACUCCGAGUGCCCGUAAAAUCGGGCUGUCCAUCUGUUUAAAUAACAGGUGAAGAAAGGGCCGGGCAAGACCGGUGCCAGCCGCCGCGGUAAUACCGGCGGCUCGAGUGGUGGCCACUAUUACUGGGCUUAAAGCGUUCGUAGCUGGUUUGUUAAGUCUCUGGGGAAAUCUGCCGGCUCAACCGGCAGGCGUUCCAGGGAUACUGGCAGACUAGGGACCGGGAGAGGUGAGGGGUACUCCAGGGGUAGGAGUGAAAUCCUGUAAUCCUUGGGGGACCACCUGUGGCGAAGGCGCCUCACCAGAACGGCUCCGACAGUGAGGGACGAAAGCUGGGGGAGCAAACCGGAUUAGAUACCCGGGUAGUCCCAGCCGUAAACGAUGCGCGUUAGGUGUAUCGGUGACCACGAGUCACCGAGGUGCCGAAGAGAAAUCGUGAAACGUGCCGCCUGGAAGU